AGUAGGUGCUGUGUUGUCAGAGAAGAAAUAGAUCCCGGUCCUCAAAGCUUCCUGUAUCCCAAGGCAAUGCAGUCAGAAGGAAGCCCUGACCAGGCACACCAGUGUCAAUAGCCACAGCCAUGGGUCUGUGGCUGGAACAUUGGUGGUCUGCUGUGCACCUGGUCUGCCUUGGGGCAGUAGAAGAGUUGUCAGACUUCUGUUUAAAACAAGUAGAAGGGACAACCCAAACAAGCCUGCUGACCAAGUUGUUCUGUAAGAAGAUCUGCAAGAAGUGAAUCUGUCAACCCAUCCUGAGCUCUGCAGGAGGCAUGUUGACAAGUUUGUCCUGGACAUAAACACAGAUGGAAGGAAAUUGCCAUAAAAAAACCCAAAACAUGAAAAGUCAUAAAGGAUGUAA